GCUAGGCACAGUGGUGCAUGCCUGUAAUCCCAGUGGCUCAGGAGGCUGAGGCAGGAGGUUCACAAGUUUGAGGCCAGCCUUAGCAACUUAGCCAGGCCCUAGCAUUUUAGUGAGACUAGCCUCAA
rnacentral:sRNA from 1 species